UACAGAGGUGGCAAGCGUUGUUCGGAAUUACUGGGCGUAAAGGGCGCGUAGGCGGGUCACCAAGUCUGUGGUGAAAGCCUCCAGCUCAACUGGAGAAGUGCCGUGGAUACUGGUGGUCUUGAGGGAGGUAGGGGCAUGUGGAACUUCCGGUGGAGCGGUGAAAUGCGUAGAUAUCGGAAGGAACGCCGGUGGCGAAAGCGACGUGCUGGACCUCUUCUGACGCUGAGGCGCGAAAGCUAGGGGAGCAAACGGG
rnacentral:rRNA from 1 species